rfam:Oryza barthii chromosome 8, whole genome shotgun sequence.
AAAAAAAACAAACUCUGGUUUCCGUGCCCAAUGUUUGACCGUCCGUCUUAUUUGAAAAAAUUAUAAAAAAAAUUAAAAAGACAAGUCACGCAUAAAAUAUUAAUCAUGUUUUAUCAUCUAACAACAAUGAAAAUACGAAUUAUAAAAAAAUUUCAUAUAAUACGGAUAGUCAAAGUUAGAUAUAGAAAUCCAGGGUUUGCCUUUUU